rnacentral:rRNA from 1 species
UGGGGAAUAUUGCACAAUGGAGGGAACUCUGAUGCAGCAACGCCGCGUGCGGGAUGACGGCCUUCGGGUUGUAAACCGCUUUCAGCCAUGACGAAGCUUUUGUGACGGUAGUGGUAGAAGAAGCACCGGCUAACUACGUGACAGCAGCCGCGGUGAUACGUAGGGUGCGAGCGUUGUCCGGAAUUAUUGGGCGUAAAGAGCUUGUAGGCGGUUUGUCGCGUCGAUAGUGUAAACACGCAGCUUAACUGUGUGCCUGCUGUCGAUACGGGCUGACUAGAGGAGGGUAGGGGAGAAUGGAAUUCCCGGUGGAGCGGUGGAAUGCGCAGAUAUCGGGAGGAACACCAGUGGCGAAGGCGGUUCUCUGGACCUUUCCUGACGCUGAGAAGCGAAAGCGUGGGUAGCAAACAGG